rnacentral:rRNA from 1 species
GACGAACGCUGGCGGCGUGCUUAACACAUGCAAGUCGAACGGAAAGGCCCUGCUUUUGUGGGGUGCUCGAGUGGCGAACGGGUGAGUAACACGUGAGUAACCUGCCCUUGACUUUGGGAUAACUUCAGGAAACUGGGGCUAAUACCGGAUAGGAGCUCCUGCUGCAUGGUGGGGGUUGGAAAGUUUCGGCGGUUGGGGAUGGACUCGCGGCUUAUCAGCUUGUUGGUGGGGUAGUGGCUUACCAAGGCUUUGACGGGUAGCCGGCCUGAGAGGGUGACCGGCCACAUUGGGACUGAGAUACGGCCCAGACUCCUACGGGGGGGAGCAGUGGGGAAUAUUGCACAAUGGGCGGGAGCCUGAUGCAGCAACGCCGCGUGCGGGAUGACGGCCUUCGGGUUGUAAACCGCUUUCGCCUGUGACGAAGCGUGAGUGACGGUAAUGGGUAAAGAAGCACCGGCUAACUACGUG